GCCCUGGUAGCGCAGCGGAAAGCGCGCCUGAUUACGAAUCAGGAGGUCGCAGGUUCGAAUCCUGCUCGGGGCA
rnacentral:tRNA from 1 species